GGUCUGUAUUAUCGACUUGCACGUUUCUAUUCUAGAAGAUUCAUGCGUCAGACCUUUUGGGUUCGUUUAUUCGGUCUUCCACAUUUUUUCUCAGUUGAAAAUUAAAAGCGCACUUGAGCGAAGUUUCUGCUCGUCGGAGGUUUAUCUUGAUCGCAGUGUGACCACGUUUCUAUUGAAAAGAUAAAGUAGAAUACAACAGCUGAGAGUCGGGAGAAAAUACCACUUAUCAACCCGAAAAAAAGUAUUUAUUUUAAGCUCAGUACUCGUUGGCAAGGGCAAUUAUUU